UUCAGCACCCAUGUCACCCUGCAGUUCACAUCUGGCAACCCACUGAAGCUCAGCAGGUGUGAGCCUGGUCAGUACCUGGAUGGGAGACCUCCUGGGAAAAACUAAGGUUGCUGCUGGAA
rfam:Lepisosteus oculatus linkage group LG8, whole genome shotgun sequence.